CCCGGUUGUAUAUCCUUUGCUUUCAGUAUUUGCCUCUUGAUAUUACAAUUUCCUAAUUCGUUUCGAGGAGAACAAAUUUCCCUCUUUUCUAUUCUCGCAUCUCUAAUGCUUGCUUUUCUACUCCACCCAUCUCUCCCUCAGGCCACCGUCAUCGUCGCUACAAAAGGAUUCCUAACUCUCUUUCGUUUUCUUUUGACUUUCUGCAUUUAUCUCGCUGCUUGGGGUAUUUGCCAAGAAAUUGAAGACUUCACUGGUGCUUGAGCUCUAUUGGCGAUUUCUACGCCGCACAGUAUUCCCGCAAAUAAUUGACAGGCAUGGCUUAAGCACAAUAUUGAUAUCCUUUAGAAGCAAAGACCAACUUCGGCAUCGUUGAUUCUUGAAGUAUCUUUAAUAUUUUCUAAUGGCUCCUUCAGAAAUAGAAGUUUUUGAAACCUUAAAUUACAAACCCUUACACCACUCUUCUCCUACCCAUUUCAUUCGACUCAUUACCACCAGCACCACCGGGUUAUUUAACCCAGUAUUUGCGAGUUAUCAAGUUUCAUGACUGAGCCGCUUCUCUUCGAUUCAGCCCGAAUGGAUUCGUCUUAAAACAAUGCCCAUCUAACUUAGCCAAAUCUGAUUUUUGGAAAUUGUCUAGUGCUAAAAGUCGGCUCUUUAUCUCUUCAAAUUGGGACUGAUUUAGUGUGAUUAGUAAUUGUAAAGUGGUUUUUGCUUUGUCAUUUUAUUGUCCUUUGAUUAAUUGCACUCUUUGCAUUUUUAUUUGGUAUUUUUUUUGUUGGAUCAUUUUUUUUAUGUAAUUAAUGGUUAAAAGAGUGUUUAAUGAUAUUAGUUUUGUUUUUGUUGCUCUGUCAUCUGGCUUCACGGCUUAACAAUGAAGGUGAUAGCCUUUAUUCUUCGUAAUCCGACAUGAAUUUUACUAUGUAAUUAUUAUUAUUAAACUGAUUUUUGGUUUUGUUCUAAUAUAAGUUGUUGGUAUUGCAAAGCAUGGUGAAGAAACAUGGAUGUUGGUAUAAAGUCAAUGUUGCUACUUCAGGAAUCUGUGUUGAUAAAAAGAUCAAUUGGUGGUUUGUAUGGUGGCUUUGGUGUAGUACUGUUAGUGGUACUUAAGAAAUUAGAAAGAAAGGAAAGGAAUAAGAGCACAUAUGGGUUGUCUCUGUAUUUUUUUCAAAUACUUGCGCUGUUUUCUUCUUUUUUUUCUUCUUUUUAAGAGAAAAGGGUUAGGAGGGGAGACCAUUGUCUACGGCUGCAUGAAAUCACUUUCCUUGUAUCAGCAGAAAAAUAAGAGACUGCACUGUUAAAUUACAAAGUUUAGACAUAGACUAUAGUUUUAGCCAAUUUUGUGUUUAAUUGGACCAAAAUAUACUUAAAAGUGAUUUUAAUUUCAUUUAAGGUGGAUAUUCUGUUCUUUGAUUAAUCUAAUAUGCAGUAUUCAAUUUGGUUUGAGAUUGAUAAAAAUAUGGCAAGGGAGAUCAUAAAUGACAGGUCACUUGUUUCAAGGUGGUUUGUCUUUGACACUUUCUUUCUUGUUCUUUUUUUUUUUUUCCGAAAGUUCUAGUUUUUGCAUAGAUGUUUAUCAAAAUAGGAUUAACUUAAGUUCUGGAUAUAAAACAGUGGGCUUUUAUGUGAUUGCAGGUGGUUUUGACACCAAGCCAUCUAGCUAUGGAGUAUGCUGCUGGAGGAGAGCUCUUUGAGCAAAUCUGCGAUAUUGGAAGAUUCAGCAAAGAAGGAACGCUUUGAUGCAACAUGAAGCUGAAAUGGUGAUAUUUGAUGAGUUUCCAUAGAGAUUGAUGCUUUGGAGAAUUUUGGAUAAAAUGGAGAAAAGAUGGCAAAAGAUCACUUCAGUUAGAGCGUGCCUGCGGCAUAUUCCAGAAAUUCGAAUUUGUGAAAAGAAGCUUAAAGUGAUACUAUUUGCCAUGUCACUUUUUAAUUUAUUUUUGGGAAUGUUUAUUUACUAAAAACCCCUCACAACUUAAGGUUAUUUUAGGAAUUCUUAGGGACCAAGUUCUCCUAUAAAAAGAAAAUGAUGAAAAGAGACAAGGAGAGUUUUUUUUAGGUUUGAAAAAAAGGGGGCUGCAAACUAGUUUUUUUCCUAUCAUCCAUUGUUUUUCUUCUUUGCUUUAUUUUCUCUACAACAAUUAUGUGCGACUGAACUCUUUUCUUUCCAACUCAAGGUUAAUUAAGGUUUGAAUUCAUAUGGGUUGUGAGAUUUAA